UACGUAGGGUGCAAGCGUUGUCCGGAAUUAUUGGGCGUAAAGAGCUCGUAGGCGGUUUGUCGCGUCUGCUGUGAAAACUCAGGGCUUAACCCUGAGCCUGCAGUGGGUACGGGCAGACUAGAGUGUGGUAGGGGAGAUCGGAAUUCCUGGUGUAGCGGUGGAAUGCGUAGAUAUCAGGAGGAACACCUGCGGUGUAGACGGCUUACUGGACCAUGACUGACGCUGAGGCACGAAAGCGUGGGGAGCAAACAGG
rnacentral:rRNA from 1 species